UGUUACACAAAGUAAACUGACUUAAGAGGC
rnacentral:piRNA from 1 species